AAGAAAUAAAAUAACGAAAGAACUCGAAAGCGGGGGAGCAAACAGGAUUAGAUACCCUGGUAGUCCACGCCGAAACGAUGAUUACUAGGUGUGGGGGGGAUUUGACCCCUUCCGUGCCGCAGUUAACACAAUAAGUAAUGCACCUGGGGAGUACGACCGCAAGGUUGAAACUCAAAGGAAUGACGGGGGCCCGCACAAGCAGUAGAGUAUGUGAAUUAAUUCGAAGCAUCGCGAAGAACCUUACCGGGUCUUGACAUCGAGUGGCCGCCCAAGAGAUUGGGCUUUCUCUUCGGAGACACGAAGACAGGUGGUGCAUGGUUGUCGUCAGCUCGUGUCGUGAGAUGUUGGGUUAAGUCCCGCAACGAGCGCAACCCUUAUGAUUAGUUGCUACGCAAGAGCACUCUAAUCAGACUGCCGUUGACAAAACGGAGGAAGGUGGGGAUGACGUCAAAUCAUCAUGCCCUUUAUGACCCGGGCCUCACACGUACUACAAUGGCGUUUAACAAAGAGAAGCAAAGCCGCGAGGCAGAGCAAAUCUCGAAAAAACGUCUCAGUUCAGAUUGCAGGCUGCAACUCGCCUGCAUGAAGUCGGAAUUGCUA
rnacentral:rRNA from 1 species